UGACAUCGCAGGGGAUGCAGGGAAACGCUGCCCGAGGUGUGCGGGAUGCCAUCGCCGUUGCCAGGGAAACAGCAGGCGACAUCCUGCAGAGCCAGUCCCAGUCAGCUCCUGCCUUUCACCUGUGAACUCCACUGCCACACACACCUUCACCACCCAGCACCAACCCAACAAGACCCGAAAUGAAUCCCUGCGACAGAACAGAGCCGAUUUUAACAACCAGCGCCAUCACUGCGUUACACCUCGGCAAGGGUGUGAGCAGAAACCCUGAAGAAGAGACUCCUUGUCUUGGCUUUUUUGUUUUCCCUCCAGCUUACAGGUAAUAGCCAGGAAUGGGCAAACCCUCUUUUAAUGGACUCUUAAUAAUGCUGUAAUUUCCCUUUGCACGGAAAGUUUUCCAAACAGUCAAAGAUUCAAAACAAA